rnacentral:rRNA from 1 species
AGAGUUUGAUCAUGGCUCAGAACGAACGCUGGCGGCGGGCCUAAUACAUGCAAGUCGUACGAGAAAGCUCGGCUUCGGCUGGGUGAUUAAAGUGGCGAACGGGUGAGUAACACGUGGGCAAUCUGCCCUUAAGUUUGGGAUAAGCCUUCGAAAGGGGGUCUAAUACCGGAUAAUAUCCGAAGAUGGCAUCUUUUUCGGAUCAAAGGUGGAGCAAUCUGCCGCUUAGGGAUGAGCCCGCGUCCCAUUAGCUUGUUGGUGAGGUAACGGCUCACCAAGGCUGUGAUGGGUAGCCGGCCUGAGAGGGUGAUCGGCCACACUGGGACUGAGAUACGGCCCAGACUCCUACGGGAGGCAGCAGUAGGGAAUAUUGCGCAAUGGACGAAAGUCUGACGCAGCCACGCCGCGUGGAUGAUGAAGCUUUUUGGAGUGUAAAAUCCUGUCAGUGGGGAAGAAACGGUCGGGGAGUAACUGCCCCGGCCCUGACGGUACCCGCAGAGGAAGUUCCGGCUAACUCCGUGCCAGCAGCCGCGGUAAUACGGGGGGAACAAGCGUUGUUCGGAUUCACUGGGCGUAAAGGGCGUGUAGGCGGAUUCGCAAGUCAGAUGUGAAAACCGGCGGCUUAACCACCGGCCUGCAUCUGAUACUGCAGAUCUUGAGUACGGUAGAGGAAAGUGGAAUUCCAGGUGUAGCGGUGACAUGCGUAGAUAUCUGGAAGAACACCGGUGGCGAAGGCGGCUUUCUGGACCGAUACUGACGCUGAGGCGCGAAAGCCAGGGGAGCAAACAGGAUUAGAUACCCUAGUAGUCC